rnacentral:rRNA from 1 species
GCUAAGAGAUGGGCUUGCGGCACAUUAGUUAGUUGGUAAGGUAACGGCUUACCAAGACUAUGAUGUGUAGCUGGACUGAGAGGUUGAACGGCCACAUUGGGAUUGAGAUACGGCCCAAACUCCUACGGGAGGCAGCAGUAAGGAAUUUUCGGCAAUGGAGGAAACUCUGACCGAGCAACGCCGCGUGAACGAUGAAAUAUUUAGGUAUGUAAAGUUCUUUUAUUAAAGAAGAAAAAAUGAUGGAAAAAUCAUUCUGACGGUAUUUAAUGAAUAAGCCCCGGCUAACUAUGUGCCAGCAGCUGCGGUAAUACAUGGGGGGCAAGCGUUAUCCGGAUUUAUUGGGCGUAAAGGGUGUGUAGGCGGUUUAAUAAGUCUAUGGUAUAAGUUCAACGCUUAACGUUGUGAUGCUAUGGAAACUGUUUGACUAGAGUUGGAUAGAGGCAAGUGGAAUUCCAUGUGUAGCGGUAAAAUGCGUAAAUAUAUGGAGGAACACCAGUAGCGAAGGCGGCUUGCUGGGUCUUAACUGACGCUGAGGCACGAAAGCGUGGGGAGCAAACAGGAUUAGAUACCCUGGUAGUCCACGCCGUAAACGAUGAGUACUAAGUGUUGGGUUAAACCAGUGCUGAAGUUAACACAUUAAGUACUCCGCCUGAGUAGUACGUACGCAAGUAUGAAACUUAAAGGAAUUGACGGGACUCCGCACAAGCGGUGGAUCAUGUUGUUUAAUUCGAAGAUACACGAAAAACCUUACCAGGUCUUGACAUACUCUGCAAAGCUAUAGAAAUAUAGUGGAGGUUAUCAGGGAUACAGGUGGUGCAUGGUUGUCGUCAGCUCGUGUCGUGAGAUGUUGGGUUAAGUCCCGCAACGAGCGCAACCCUUAUCGCUAGUUACCAUCAUUUAGUUGGGCACUUUAGUGAGACUGCCAAUGAUAAAUUGGAGGAAGGUGGGGAUUACGUCAAAUCAUCAUGCCCCUUAUGACCUGGGCUACAAACGUGAUACAAUGGCUGUUACAAAGAGUAGCUGAAGCGUGAGUUUUUAGCAAAUCUCAAAAAAACAGUCUCAGUUCGGAUUGAAGUCUGCAACUCGACUUCAUGAAGUCGGAAU